rnacentral:lncRNA from 1 species
GAAUUAUGUUGGUAAAGAGCUCUGUGAAGCUCUAUGUGGCUAACGGACCAAACAAAUGAAGGAGAUGCAGAAAAAAUAAGCAACACACACCAAGUGUUCGACAAAACUCCAAGCUGAGAAGCUGCACAGAAAACAAACAAAGAGCAAGAAGCAAUGCGUCGUGGUGAAAACCACUGCCCUGAAAAUGAGAUUCGGCCGGCAAUGAGGUGCA